rnacentral:rRNA from 1 species
GUGCCAAGCAGCCGCGGUAAUUCCAGCUCCAAUAGCGUAUAUUAAAGUUGUUGCGGUAAAAAAGCUCGUAGUUGGAUUUCUGUUGAAGACGUCCGGUCCAUACCACGUAUGCGCAUCUGGCUCGGCUUCGGCAUCCUCUCGAAAGACGUUUCUGCGCUUGAUUGCGUGGAGCGGAUCUCGGGACUUUUACUUUGAGGAAAUUAGAGUGUUCACGGCAGGCUAUCGCCAGAAUACAUUAGCAUGGAAUAAUACUAUAGGAUCUCGGUUCUAUUUUGUUGGUUUCUAGAAUUGAGAUAAUGAUUAAUAGGGACAAUUGGGGGCAUUCGUAUCAACACGUUAGAGGUGAAAUUCUUGGAUCGUGUUGCGACGAACUACUGCGAAAGCAUUUGCCAAGGAUGUUUUCAUUGAUCAAGAACGAAAGUAAGGGGAUCGAAGACGAUUAGAUACCGUCGUAGUCUUUACCAUAAACUAUGCCAACUAGAGAUGGGACAUCGUUCACUUAAGACUUGUUCCGCACCUUAUGAGAUAUCAAAGUCUUUGGGUUCCGGGGGGAGUAUGGUCGCAAGUCUGAAACUUAAAGGAAUUGACGGAAGGGCACCACCAGGAGUGGAGCCUGCGGCUUAAUUUGACUCAACACGGGGAAACUCACCAGGUCCAGACAUAAUAAGGAUUGACAGAUUGAUAGCUCUUUCUUGAUUUUAUGGGUGGUGGUGCAUGGCCGUUCUUAGUUCGUGGAGUGAUUUGUCUGCUUAAUUGCGUUAACGAACGAGACCUUAACCUGCUAAAUAGGAGCGCCUAUCUCCGGAUAAGCGCCUUUCUUCUUAGAGGGACUUUAUGCGUUUCAGCAUGAGGAAGUUUGAGGCUAAAACAGGUCUGUGAUGC